AGUCAUAUGCUUGUCUCAAAGAUUAAGCCAUGCAUGUCUCAGUACAAGCCAAAUUAAGGUGAAACCGCGAAAGGCUCAUUAAAUCAGUUAUGGUUCCUUAGAUCGUACACACAUUUACUUGGAUAACUGUGGUAAUUCUAGAGCUAAUACAUGCCAACAGAACUCCGACCGGAGACGGAAGGAGUGCCUUUAUUAGAUCAAAACCAAUCGGUGGCGCGGCCUCGGUCGUGUCAUCGUACAACAUGGUGAAUCUGAAUAACGUUUGCUGAUCGCACGGUCUCGCACCGGCGACGCAUCUUUCAAAUGUCUGCCUUAUCAACUGUCGAUGGUAGGUUCUGCGCCUACCAUGGUUGUAACGGGUAACGGGGAAUCAGGGUUCGAUUCCGGAGAGGGAGCCUGAGAAACGGCUACCACAUCCAAGGAAGGCAGCAGGCGCGCAAAUUACCCACUCCCGGCACGGGGAGGUAGUGACGAAAAAUAACGAUACGGGACUCAUCCGAGGCCCCGUAAUCGGAAUGAGCACACUUUAAAUCCUUUCACGAGGAUCAAUCGGAGGGCAAGUCAAGUGCCAGCAGCCGCGGUAAUUCCUGCUCCGAUAGCGUA
rnacentral:rRNA from 1 species